AUGCCGAGGACGCGGGCGCUGUGCUGCCUCAUGCCGUCGAAGCCCUCCGGCGACGCCCGCCGCCGCAGCAGCGCGGCUUGCAUUUGCUGCAUCGGCGCCCAUCACCGCCCAUCCGGGGGCAGCGGCCUCGCCCCCGUCGACGCGGACAACAGCAGCGUGCGCACGCCGCUCACCAGCUGCUGCGGCACCGGGGACGCCGUCCGCACGCCGCGCACCCCCAAGACGCCCUCCGCGAGGCGCCUCUGCGGCGUCCGCUCCCGCACCCCGCGCCGCGCGCAGCAGGUCCGCCGCUUCACUCCGGCACCAGCGCCGGCGCCCGCGGAACCCGCUGUUCUAGCGCGAGCGGCGGCGCCUGCUGCUCCCGCGAGGACUCCCGUGGCAGCUGCUGCAUCGGCUGGAGCGGCGCUGGCUGUUCCUCCGGUGAAGACUCCCGUGUCAGCUGCUGCGUCGGCUGGAGCGCCGCUAGUUGCUCCUCCUCCUCCUGCGAGGACUCCUGUGGCAGCUGCUCCGUCGGCUGGAGCGGCGCUGGUUGCUCCUCCUCCCGCAAGGACUCCCGUGGCGGCUGCUGCUUCGGCUGGAGCGGCGCUGGCUCCUCCUCCCGCGCGGACGCCGGGAACCCCUUCGACGCCGAUCGGGCGGACGCAGCGCGUGUGCUGCGUGACCACCACCGCGCCCGCGCAGGCCGGCAACGCCAAGUCCAAGUCGGGCACCGCGCGGCGCCGCUGGCUCAGCUCCGCCAGCAAGACGGUGGCGCAGACGCGCGGCGCGGUCUCGGGCGCCGUUCGCGACAGCACCACCAACCCGCGCAGCAACGGCGACGUCGCCAAGGCGGUCCACAGAGCGGCGCCGCUCGCGAAGGCCGUGGAGCCGGCGCCGGCGAACGAGGACGAGUCGGUCUGCUCCAACGAGGAGUACGCGCUGCUGUGCCGUGAGGGCUUCUCUCGGGAGGACGUUGCCGCCGUCACCAUCCAGGCCUACUUCCGCGCCCACCUUGCGCGGCGGGCGUUCAAGGCGCUGAGGAGCCUGGUGAGGCUGCAGGCGGUGGCGCGGGGCGCGUACGUGCGGUGGCAGGCGGAGGUGGCGGUGCACUGCAUGCAGGCCAUGGCGCGGCUGCAGGCGCGCGUGCGCUCCAGGCAGACGCUCGCCAAGCCCAAGGACAACGACGACAAGCUCCUCCUGCUGCAGAACUGA
rnacentral:rRNA from 1 species